UUCUUUGACUUAGUGGCGGACGGGUGAGUAAUGCGUGAGCAACCUGCCUUUCAAGGGGGACAACAGUUGGAAACGACUGCUAAUACCGCAUGAUAUAUUCGGAUGGCAUCGUCUGAAUAUCAAAGAUUUAUCGCUGAAAGAUGGGCUCACGUCUGAUUAGUUAGUUGGUGAGGUAACGGCUCACCAAGACUGCGAUCAGUAGCCGGACUGAGAGGUUGAACGGCCACAUUGGGACUGAGAUACGGCCCAGACUCC
rnacentral:rRNA from 1 species